AAAUAGAACUUUGCAGAGAGAGUUAAGAGGGCGUGAAACCGUUAAUUGGCAAACGAAUCGGAGCCACGAAGUCGUUUCGCUGAUAAGCCAAGCCGAGUUCAGUUGGCCACGAGAGUGGCCGGCGUAUUCUCGUAGUUUGGCCUAGAAUUGUAAACGUACACUGCAACCAGUUAGACGAUUGAAAAUGGGCCCAGCUUGCGUUAGUAGUAGCGCGGGCAGUCCUUGUGGUUGUUUGCGCUGCUGGGCGCAGGCAAGUGAGCUAUUUUCAAAUACUGACUGGCAAAAUGAAAACCGCCGCCUCGCGGCGUAAAACAAAACGCACCGCCUGCACUCUGGCCUACAUGUUUAGCCAUGAGGUUUUAAGCUCAACAUUUUUGAAUUCCGACUUGCAAGCUACCAAUGGGGCAACCCUUGGUGCUUGUACAGAUCAGUCUAAUCGGGUGUUGACUUGACCUGGUGUUGUUUAAGCAUGCAACGAUUGGGCUAGAGUUUGCAGGGCGGCUCGCAAGCAUUGGCAGUGAGUAGGUCGGCUUUCCGAACGACCCGUCUUGAAACACGGACCAAGGAGUCUAAUUAGGCAUCAAGUCGAUCGGUCUUGACUAGGCCAGACUGGGAGCUUCCUUCCGAGAAGGCGUAGAGACAACAUGUGAUCGUUGAGUAAAACAACUCUUGCGCGCAACAUGUGCCUGUUCGUAUAACAAUGUAGCAAUAAUUGUUGGGCGGAGCAAAGAGAUGCCUGAUUGGUACCCGAAAGAUGGUGAUGCUUGGGCAAAUUGAAGCCAGAGGAAACUCUGGUGGAGGAUUUAGAUUCUGACGUGCAAAUCGAUCGUCAGACCUGAGUUAGGGGCGAAAGACUAAUCGAACCAUC
rnacentral:rRNA from 2 species